CCUUGGGUCUUCGGUCUUGAACUUUUGAGCUCGUCUUGGCUUUUCCAUGCAAUCCCUUCAUUAAUAUGCUUCUCGGAAUUCAAUCUUGAUUGUUUGUCAUAUAAUAAUGUUGUUUAACACUUGACUUUAUUGUUUGUCAUUCAUCAAAACCUAUACCUGGAAAUCAUGCUAAUAUAACCAAAGCACACAUAUCAUGGAUAGAAUGAUUUUCUACAUGAGGGGGUAAGUGUAGACACUUAGGAACCCCUCCACGUGAGUGGUAAUGCUCUCUCCGGGAUCAGGGAUCUGUACCAUGACCUCGGCCCCUAGCCAAAAUCUCUCUUUGCAACCUCGAAAUGUUUCACCAUUAUCGAGCAAAUGUAUCUCGACACAUGUUGACAUUGGCCAAGGAUCGACGGAGGGUUCUCGACUUUGAAGUCGGACUUUUGGAUGCAAGGGAGGGAAAAUACUUGUGAGGGAGCAGUUCCACCGGCAUUUUAUUAUCGGUCGGCUGGGAAGAAGAAGAAGAAUCUUUCUCCUUUUGUGGGACAGUGUUGGGGCUCAACAGGGGGUGAGAGAGAAGAGAUAGAGAGAAAAAGAGACUUAGAAAGCUUGGUGAAGGUAGAAGUAAAGUUUUUGAUUCAACGAGAAAGCUGGUAUUUAUAGAAUCACAGUGACGGUUCGGUGGCGCUAGUGGCCGACCACCCACUGACAGACAUUAAUAAUUUUAGAAAUUUUACCAAUGGGACGUUUCAGUCACCCGCUUGCUUCACGGGGAUGAUUUCAUUCACGGAGUCCCUUGAAAAUCGAGGCUCAAGUUGUUUCUUAUCAUUUUACUCUAAAAAACGAGGAAACUAUCUAUAUAAGGUGAAAAUCGGGGCUACCCAUUUUUGUCCUUUGACGGAAAAAGUGAUACCACGUUGGAAGGCCAGGACAUCGAGUUCAGGGUCGAAGUUUCUUUCCAAGAUCGAGGUCAAUAUCACUUAUCAAGGUUAGAAGAGGGCAUACUUCGAGAUAAUGCCGAUAUAGUUCAGUGACGGAAAUAGCAUGAUAUCUGCAACGGACCGAAGAUCAUGGAGUGAAUUUUGGAAUGGAUUGGUCAUCGACGGUUAAUCAAUUGUCACAUAUGAUUUCCUACUAUACUUAGAAGUGUAUCUUACUUAGAACUCCCCUAUUAUAUAAAGGAGGAUCCCAUUCAUUUGCAAUAAUCAUUAUUCACUGAAAAGUAUAUAUACACUCAUUACUUUCUUACUAUUUCGCUUAUUAUUCAUUAGAGUUGCUUUAUCAUUUGUUAUUCUUAUUAUCACACCUCGAGGCUAUCACAAGUCGAGGUCAAAAUUUGAC
rnacentral:lncRNA from 1 species